UAAGGAAUAUUGGUCAAUGGACGCAAGUCUGAACCAGCCAUGCCGCGUGAAGGAUUAAGGCCCUCUGGGUUGUAAACUUCUUUUAUAGGGGAGGAAAUGUGACGGUUCUCCGUCACUUGACGGUACCCUGGGAAUAAGCACCGGCUAACUCCGUGCCAGCAGCCGCGGUAAUACGGAGGGUGCAAGCGUUAUCCGGAUUCACUGGGUUUAAAGGGUGCGUAGGUGGGCAGAUAAGUCAGUGGUGAAAUCUUCCGGCUUAACCGGGAAACUGCCGUUGAUACUAUUUGUCUUGAAUAUUGCGGAGGUAAGCGGAAUAUGUCAUGUAGCGGUGAAAUGCUUAGAUAUGACAUAGAACACCAAUUGCGAAGGCAGCUUACUACACAAUCAUUGACACUGAGGCACGAAAGCGUGGGUAGCGAACA
rnacentral:rRNA from 1 species